rnacentral:rRNA from 1 species
AUUGAACGCUGGCGGCAGGCUUAACACAUGCAAGUCGAGCGGGGGAAGGUAGCUUGCUACCGGACCUAGCGGCGGACGGGUGAGUAAUGCUUAGGAAUCUGCCUAUUAGUGGGGGACAACAUCUCGAAAGGGAUGCUAAUACCGCAUACGUCCUACGGGAGAAAGCAGGGGAUCUUCGGACCUUGCGCUAAUAGAUGAGCCUAAGUCGGAUUAGCUAGUUGGUGGGGUAAAGGCCUACCAAGGCGACGAUCUGUAGCGGGUCUGAGAGGAUGAUCCGCCACACUGGGACUGAGACACGGCCCGGACUCCUACGGGAGGCAGCAGUGGGGAAUAUUGGACAAUGGGGGGAACCCUGAUCCAGCCAUGCCGCGUGUGUGAAGAAGGCCUUAUGGUUGUAAAGCACUUUAAGCGAGGAGGAGGCUACUCUAGUUAAUACCUAGGGAUAGUGGACGUUACUCGCAGAAUAAGCACCGGCUAACUCUGUGCCAGCCGCCGCCGCGG